UACGGAGGGGGCUAGCGUUGUUCGGAAUUACUGGGCGUAAAGCGCACGUAGGCGGCUUUGCAAGUCAGAGGUGAAAGCCCGGGGCUCAACCCCCGGAAUUGCCUUUGAGACUGCAUCGCUAGAAUUGUGGAGAGGUAAGUGGAAUUCCGAGUGUAGAGGUGAAAUUCGUAGAUAUUCGGAAGAACACCAGUGGCGAAGGCGACUUACUGGACACGUAUUGACGCUGAGGUGCGAAAGCGUGGGGAGCAAACAGG
rnacentral:rRNA from 1 species